rnacentral:rRNA from 1 species
CCUACGGGAGGCAGCAGUGAGGAAUAUUGGUCAAUGGACGCAAGUCUGAACCAGCCAUGCCGCGUGCAGGAUGACGGCUCUAUGAGUUGUAAACUGCUUUUGUACGAGGGUAAACCCCGAUACGUGUACCGGGUUGCAAGUACCCUACGAAUAAGGAUCGGCUAACUCCGUGCCAGCAGCCGCGGUAAUACGGAGGGUCCGAGCGUUAUCCGGAUUUAUUGGGUUUAAAGGGUGCGUAGGCGGUUUGGUAAGUUAGAGGUGAAAUGUCGGGGCUCAACCCCGAAACUGCCUCUGAUACUGUUGGACUAGAGGAUAGUAGCGGUAGGCGGAAUGUGUGGUGUAGCGGUGAAAUGCUUAGAGAUCAUGCAGAACACCGAUUGCGAAGGCAGCUUACCAAACUGUAUCUGACGUUGAGGCACGAAAGCGUGGGUAGCAAACAGGAUUAGAUACCCGAGUAGUC